CAGUAGCCGCGGGAAUACGAGGGGGGCAAGCGUUGUUCGGAAUUAUUGGGCGUAAAGGGCGCGUAGGCGGUUUGGCAAGUUUGGUGUGAAAUCUUCGGGCUCAACCGGGGAGGGUCAUUGGAAACUGGGAAACUUGAGUGCAGAAGAGGAGAGUGGAAUUCCACGUGUAGCGAUGAAAUGCGUAGAGAUAUGGAGGAACACCAGUGGCGAAGGCGACUCUCUGGUCUGUAACUGACGCUGAGGAGCGAAAGCGUGGGGAGCGAACAGGAUUAGAUACCCGCGUAGUCCCUGUCUCUUAUAC
rnacentral:rRNA from 1 species